UUCCUCGCCCUCCCCCUCCUCCCCGGCUCCCUAGACCAUCUGCUCACCUGGCACCCAGGGGUCACCUUGUCCUCUGACACCAAUUGCUGUCCUGCUGAUGCCCUAAACCAGAAGGGUCUGUCCCCGGGCCCAGGCCCACACUCUGGGACCAAAGGGCCCCGUCUGAGGGUUGGGGGCCCCCUCCGUCCUGGCACAGGUGACCCUGGAAUUCACCCCUCCUGCAGUGCGCCCCCAGCACGGAGGCUUGCCUCUGUGCCACCCUGGAAGGUGCCCCCAGCUCCCCAGCAGCCCCGUCUGCACCCUGGUCCGGGUCUCCAGGGUCCUUACCCGCUGCCUCCUAUGGGUCCUGGACCCCGGGGGACAAUUGGUGCGAGGUGUCCCCAGGCCUCUGAAGACCCAGCUCUGCCUUCUCCCCUGGGGCCCCAGGAAGGUUCUCGCUGGCCGGGGUCUCACUGCCAGGGAGUCUCUAAGAAAGGCUGAGGUCUCAAGGCCCGUUGUGUGGCAGGUUCUCCCGGGAGAAGCAUGUACCUUGCAUCUGUGCGUGAGCUCCUCCCCAGUUCCGACCUUGGCUUCUGCUGCGCCUUCUGGAACAUUUCUGCCUCGGUUCAAGGGCUUCCCUCCAGAAACACCUUCCGCUGGGUGGCCUUUGCGCUGCACACCGUUCCGUUCCCAGGCUGCUUGUCCCUCCGUCCCCGCUGCGUCCCCAGGGGCCACGCUGGGGUGUCCCUGCGGUGAGAUUCCCCUGGCGGCUCCUUGGGAGCAGGCGGGGGUCUGAGCAACCCCCUCCCGUCCGUCCUCUGGAUGCCCUUUGCUCGUUCCUUCCCGGGCUGGGCGCUUGGUCUGUCCCCGCAGCUGCCCACUCGCUUUCCUGUGCUCUCUGGCCCGCUCCCUCCCUGCCUGCCUCCUCUCCCCUUGCACCCCACUCCACCCCUUCUCUGGGCACUGCUCCCCUCUGAGCCUCCUGCUCCGACGUAGUUCAGUCCCCCCUUCGGGGACACGGCUGCCUGCUGCCCCGGCCCCCAGCCCGGGACCCCCUGGGACCUGCUGUGCAGCCCGCUGCGCUCUGCACGAAGCUCAGCUGGGCAUCCGGGAGCCGGAGACGGGGUGCUGCUCCCUGACCCCAGCCCUAGGGCCGGGCUCCCCAGGACAGAGGACAGCCCCACAUCAGCUGCCCGGGAGCAGAGGCCUCCCUGCCCCUCCGCACGCUUCGCAUCACUGCCGGCCAAGGUGCUACAGCCGCUGGACCUGGGCCCCGGUGACAGUCACACCCAGGUCCUCACUUCCAAGAUGAACAAGAAACGAAGGAACAAUGGUCGUGCAAAAAGGUCCGGGGCCACAGCAGCCCGUUCACUACACCAGCUACACCCCUGUUCCCUGCCGAGGCCAGUAAGAAGUUCCUUACUCAGGGUGCCCAGGGCGGGGGGCUCAGUCGGGUCAG